rnacentral:misc_RNA from 1 species
AAGUCGUAACAAGGUUUCCGUAGGUGAACCUGCGGAAGGAUCAUUAAAAGUAAUUGGUUAUACAUAUCCUGUAUCAACUGCACAAACCCAUUCCGAGUACCUUGCCUGUUGCUUCCAUGGGGCCUGACUUUGGUCACUCUUGUGUAGUGCAUGGCAAGUACCCUAACCGAAGGAGUCCCGAUUGGGGGCCAUGGGAAUCAUUAAAUUCAUGAAUCCAAUGUCUUCUGUCUGAAAUGUUAAAAACAAAUGUUAAAA